rnacentral:rRNA from 1 species
AACGCAUCUUGCGCUCCUUGGUAUUCCUUGGAGCAUGCCUGUUUGAGUAUCAUGAAAUUCUCAAAGCAAAUUCUUUUGUUAAUUCAAUUGGUUUACUUUGGAUUUGGAGGUUUUGCAGAUUUCUACAAUCUGCUCCUCUUGAAUGCAUUAGCUGGAUCUCAGUAUAUACUUGGUUCCACUCAGUGUGAUAAGUAUCACUCACUGAGGACACCUGUAAAAAAGGUGGCCAAGGAAUACAGAUGAACUGCUUCUAAUAAUCUAUUAGUAUCUGAUCUCAAAUCAGGUAGGACUACCCGCUGAACUUAA